rnacentral:lncRNA from 1 species
UUCAUCAUAACUCAAAUCAAUUCAAGAAUUGGUUUAAACUACAUUCACUUCAGAAAAAAAAAAUCCAGUUUUCCCAUCUUGUUUUCAACUGAAUUAUGGGCAUUAAAUAAAAAAAGAAAAAAGAAAACUGACUCUGAUACACGUGAGAAAAUCCCAACCAUUUUCAGCGGCAAUACACGUCAGCAACAAAGAGCGCCAACCAAAACCAAUGAAGAUAAGCAAAUAAAUCCUAAAAUCUGACCACACACGUGUCACCAAAUUAUUUGCAAGUUUUUCCGUAGACUUGCCGCUGAAAUUCGGUUAGAGAAAACGAACGAAAAGAGAUACCAUAUUUCCUCUCACUAGCCAUAACCAAACCAACAGUUACCUUUUAGAGAGAGCAACAAAAAAGAGCGUCAAGAUGUCUACAGGCUCGCUGUGUUCAUCAACGACUCAGAUCAAUGGCUUUACAGGUGGGAAUUAUGAUCCAUAAUUUUUCAUUAAUUUCAUGGAGUGAUUAUGUAACUAUAAAAUGAGAGCUCAUCUUUUUGUUUUGUACACACACAAUUGGAAUGAAUAAAAUCACUCUAUAAUAUAUUCUCUUAUUUUAUUCUUUAUCUUGCGUUGCUUCUUUAUUUGUAUUGCUGGCUAAUAACUUUUUUUGUUUUUUAUAAGGCCGCUUUAUCUUAAAAAAAAAUCAAUUUAUAUUUUUUAUCAGUUUCAUCAAGUGUAAAGUAAGAAAAAAAGAUAAUACUAAAUUUUUUUUUUCAAAGCCGCGUGAAGCGCGGUUCUAUUUUCUAGUUUUAUUAUAAAUAUGAACUCUUGAUGUAUAGAAAAACACAAGCAACUAGCUAAAAAAUUAUGGACUUUUAAUUAUAAUUUUUAUUCAAUAAUAAAUAUUGUUCUUUUAUACACGUAAACGUAAUUCUAAAGUUGAAUCAUGUAAAUUUUCUAUAUCUCAUUUAUUAUAUCGUCUUAUUAUUUAAUUAUAUAAUUGAAUAAAAAUUUACACAACAACGAAAAAGAUAUUCAUCAUAACUCAAAUCAAUUCAAGAAUUGGUUUAAACUACAUUCACUUCAGAAAAAAAAAAUCCAGUUUUCCCAUCUUGUUUUCAACUGAAUUAUGGGCAUUAAAUAAAAAAAGAAAAAAGAAAACUGACUCUGAUACACGUGAGAAAAUCCCAACCAUUUUCAGCGGCAAUACACGUCAGCAACAAAGAGCGCCAACCAAAACCAAUGAAGAUAAGCAAAUAAAUCCUAAAAUCUGACCACACACGUGUCACCAAAUUAUUUGCAAGUUUUUCCGUAGACUUGCCGCUGAAAUUCGGUUAGAGAAAACGAACGAAAAGAGAUACCAUAUUUCCUCUCACUAGCCAUAACCAAACCAACAGUUACCUUUUAGAGAGAGCAACAAAAAAGAGCGUCAAGAUGUCUACAGGCUCGCUGUGUUCAUCAACGACUCAGAUCAAUGGCUUUACAGGUGGUUUCAUGUUGCAGAAAACCAAUCUUAAUCAGCCCAGUUCACUUAGUUUUACAAGGUACAGUUUUUGAAGGUUCCUUUUUUUUUUUUUUUUUUGGUUCUUUUUGUUCUUUCAUUUUUUUUUGCUUGAAUUUUAU